rnacentral:lncRNA from 1 species
CCACUCCAAUAUUCUUGCAGGGAGAAUCACAUGGACAGAGGAUUCUGGUUGGCUACAGUCCAUGAGAUCUCAAAGACUCAGACAAGACUGAGUGACGAACACUACUACUAUAAGCAAGGAACAAACCUUCCUGGUUUUAAGUCACUGAGCAUGGGUAUUAUUUGUUCCUACAACAUAAUUUCAGUUUGUCCGGGCUGUGUGAGGUCUGUGAGGGCUGUCAGCUUUUGCUAAUCUCUUUCCUGGGCACUUGAAGUCCUUUCUUUUUAUCCCCAAUUAUCAGCUGGGUGUUUCCACGAAUCAACAGAUGGACAGAUUGACCAGAAUAAGAGUGCAGUCCUGCUAGCUACUGGGGUCAUGAUGCUAUCCACUGCUCACUAACUCUGUUGACUGACUCAGCAUCACCUGUACUUCUACACCCUUGGGAUAUUGCUGAAUCUUCAGGCAGGUACCCUUUCUCCUUUCGCACAGUAUGCUGGUCCAUGAGGAGAGCUGGAAAGGGCAUUUGGCCAACAGACCACUACUUGUCACAGCUCUGCUGCUCAGAGACCAGCAGGGGUUCUUUAAAGAGUCCCAGAGAAGAGUACACAGGAUCAAGAGAAGGAGAAACCAGGAAGUAUCUGCUCUUCAAGGAGAGGCCGAGGACUCAUGGACCCUGAGGAUUGAGCGGUCAGCCCCUGUGCAGCCCAUCAAGACAGAGAGAAAACAGAUAACCAAAAAANNNNNNNNNNNNNNNNNNNNNNNNNNNNNNNNNNNNNNNNNNNNNNNNNNNNNNNNNNNNNNNNNNNNNNNNNNNNNNNNGGUUCAAUCCCUGGGUCAGGAAGAUCCCCUGGAGAAGGAAACCCACUCCAAUAUUCUUGCCUAGAGAAUCCCAUGGACAAAGGAGCAUGGUGUGCUAUAGUCCAUGGGGUCACUAAGGGUUGGACAUGACUGAGGGGAGUUAGCAUGCAUGCAUGAGAAAAAAUAUGAGGAGGCUGCAGGUUUUCCUAUAAUGAGCCUAGACUUCGGAGUUAAACUGCCUCUAACAUUGCCUAGCUGUUACCUUGGGCAAGUUACUUAACUUUUCUGAGCCAAACCUCUAACAUGAAGCUAAUGGUACUUUUCCUGCUAAGAUGGCAUAAAGAUUAGAAAAAACACACAAAGCACCCAGACAAUACCCAGCAGCACCUUGAUAAUGACAAGAGCCAAAGUCUGGGGAGCACUCACUAUGUUCUCAGGAGCUGGAAGCUCUUAGGUUAUUCUUCUUGGUCAGGGAAGCAAAUGGGUGUUACAGGUACAAACGCAGAUGGGUCUCUAACUUUGUGGCUCAGCUUUGAACAUUUCCCAGGAGACUUAAAGCCCCAGCAUCAUCUCAUGGUGGCAGGUGAUACAGAAGAGGGGAUGGAGAUGUACGUCAAAGGCCCAACUGUCUCCGAGCACCCCCAGGACCCUGGGGAGGACUCUGUGGCAUCCAGAGAUCAAGCCCAGCCAUGCUUUGCUUCUGCAAUCACAAGGUGGAAUGGCCAGCAGCCAUGGGAGGGUUCUUCUUUUUCCGAAGUAUGUUUGCUGUAUAAACACAGUCAUAAAAGGAGAGCCAAGUGUCAGUGAUGGUGGGGGAGGCAGCGAUCCUAGUGAUGGCUGGCUGUGUCCAGCCAGCCCUGGUCAGCACGGGGGAGGAAAGGCCUUGCAGCCCAUCAGGCUGUCAGGCCGUACAGACCCUACUUUCUUCAACCUCCACUCCGCUGGAGCAAUUCAGAGAUACUUGGGGGAGGCGGAGACAACUGGGAGGAGGAAGAGGGGGCAGCCAGGGAGUCAUGCUAAACUGCUCCCAGGCUCCAAGGCCUUGCUAGACUCUGAAAAACAAUUCGGUUUCCACUUGUCAAUUGAUCCAUAAAAUGCAUCGCUUGGGUACUUAAGGAUGGUCCCCCUGGGGCUGCAUGUGUGUGAUGCAGAUUCAAAAGGAGAAUUACUGACCAUGGAGAUGGCUCCACCAGCAGCAGCCUGAAGGAGGAGCAGGGUGCUCAGAGCGCCGCUGGCCGUGUCUUCUUGGAGAGCNNNNNNNNNNNNNNNNNNNNNNNNNNNNNNNNNNNNNNNNNNNNNNNNNNNNNNNNNNNNNNNNNNNNNNNNNNNNNNNNNNNNNNNNNNNNNNNNNNNUCCACCAGCAGCAGCCUGAAGGAGGAGCAGGGUCAGAGCGCCGCUGGCCGUGUCUUCUUGGAGAGCGGCAAGUGAAAGACCGGAACAAUGAUUUUAAGCAACUCAAGCCUCUGCCCCUCAAAACAGGAACCACAACUUGGAAGGACUUACAUAAAUCAGGAAGAAGUAGGCAUAGGAGCUUGAAUGAUCAAAACAGCUGUCUCUACUCUCAGCAGUAUAUCAAGAAUUCCAGAAUUCUGUCUCUUACACCCCCUGGCCCUGCCUGCUCACUGCCCCCUACCCCCACCCCGCAUUGCCAUAACUUGUGGACUUCGAGCUUUCUUCCCCCAAAUCUCCAAGUUACCGGCAGCGCUAGCUACCUCACAUUCGAUCUCUAGCCCCUUCAAGCUCCACUUGCUUGGAGAAUUGUGGUUCUUCAAGGAGAGUGAGGAGUCAGGGGAGGGGGCAAGGCUUCCGGAGACAGCAUGCUAGGUUCUGAGGCUAAUUCAGAUAUACCGUACUCUGUCUGCUCAGAUGGAAAACUUACGACGCACAGCUGCGUUUCAACAAGCCCAGGGAUGAAGCCAUCCCGGGCCCCCGCAUAUUUUCCUUGGCCUCAGCACAGGCCGUUGACAUCAUUGCAGGCUUGGCCAUUCAUCCACUGCCAUUUGGAGCUUGUGGCUGCGCGAGGCUGUGUUCCAGGGUCUGGGGAGGGUCUAAUUGCAAACUGGGUGGUAGUAGGGAUGGAGGUGGUCCCACUGAGUUUGUGAAAACAAACAGAAAGGCACUGAGUCUUGCCUUUCCUCCCCUGGAACGGUGAGUGAAACGAACCCCAGCCCUCUCUACCCAGCACACACAGGCCCAAGCCAAGGCCAGCCCAGAGACCCAGAAGCCUUGGUUCUACCUGUGCUAUUUUGGGAAGUGAUGAUGAAUGUUCACCACAGGUAAGAAACUCAAGUGUUCCGGUAGCAAAUUCUAUCACAUCCUUCGAGACGUCACUGCGGCCGCUCUGGGCCCAUCUGCAUUCUCCUGCAAAUCCUGGGGAGCAGGAAAACCCUGUUAAUGGUUCCCAGAGGUCUCAGAAAAGAAAAUGGCAAGAGUAGGAAACGUGAGCAUUAGGAGAUAGGGAGUGUGCAUAGGUGCACGCACUGUAGGACCAUAAUUAUCUUUAGAAGACAGCUCUUCUAUAUGGGGGAUGCUGUAAAGGAGAGCCUUUUGCUGAGCUUCCCAGCUGCUGAAAAGCUCUCAGUUCUGCUGGCCUGGAGACCACUGGGGUAGCAGUCAAGACAGGAAGACUGUGAGGCAGGUUCGAGAGCUCAGGCAGAGAGCCCGUGACUUUUGCAAGUGUUGUUUCCAGGGUUCAGAAGGUGAGAUGUCAUGGGCACCAUGGGCACAGCUCUGGGUUUUGUCACUGAGAUAAAGUAUGGCUUAGUGACAGGCCUGCAGCCUCCAGAGGCUGUGAACAGAAUGUGAUCCUGGUUGAGGCCACACUUUAUUUUCUUUGCUCCUCAGGACCUGCUUUUCUGCACAGACUCACGANUGAACAGAAUGUGAUCCUGGUCGAGGCCAUACUUUAUUUUCUUUGCUCCUCAGGACCUGCUUUUCUGCACAGACUCACGAAUAGGAUCACUUCUUUCUCAAACAUCAUUUGACACAAAGUAUUUGAGGAGGGCGCUCAGCCCUCAGGAUGCUCAUCUGACUCAGAGCUGAAGGGGACCAGGGAUGCUCCUGGAAAUGUUUAACGGUCAGCUGGGGAAUGGUCCUCAGUUGUAGUAUCUGCUGAUUUCUGAGAUGUAAAUACCCCCAUCAAGGUCAACUUAAAGCUGCCAACUUUGGGGAGAUGAUUCAUUGACCUCCUGUAUUUCUGCACAUUUUGUGAGCAAAGGUACUUACAGUUUUUGUUCUGGAUUAUCUUAUUAAAGAUAUAGGUAUUCUCUCUCUUUCUGUCCCAAUGCUGGAAACACAGGACUUCAUGUCCCUAGAACAGGAGAGGAAGGCAAUAGAGAGAAUCCUGAUUUCUGAAUCCAUUCUCAUAGAGGAGCCACCCAGGAGAGCCAUCUGUCAAAACCAUCCACGUUAGACUCUUCAUGAAUGAGAAAUAAACCUUUCUCAUGGUAGGACACUGAUAUUUCAGGUUGUUGGUUAUGGUUCCCAGCACUACUUAUUCUAAUACAAGUCAUCACUAUCAUUACCUCUAUCUAUUGAUGAGAAAACUGAGGAUUUGGAGUAAUAGACUAGGGCUCACUACUUGUAAACAGUGCAUCCAGGACACAAACCUAGGCCUCUCUGCCUCCAGAGUUUGUUUUUUUUUUCUGCUUUGUCAUCUCUUCCCGGCAAAGGCCCACGUGAGGCAAAGGU